UGGGCUGUCUGGAAGGGCUGGCAAUGCUAACAAAGGCGCUAUGGCAAAGCCAGCUCUUGACAAGGACAAAGUUGUGCUGAUCCUAGUGGAAUUGCAUUUACAGACACAGUACAAAAAAAGUUCCCUGAUGUUCCAAAAAAGUUCAUCAGGGCAGCACUAAGAGAGAAGUUAAAUGAUGAGCACAAGUUACGAGUAAGAAAAACAGUGUAGAGGCUUCAUUUAACGGAUCAGAGCAACAUUUGUCUGUUCCCUGAUGUUCCAAAAAAGUUCAUCAGGGCAGCACUAAGAGAGAAGUUAAAUGAUGAGCACAAGUUACGAGUAAGAAAAACAGUGUAAAGGCUUCAUUUAACGGAUCAGAGCAACAUUUGUCUGUGAAUUGGACUCUGCUCUUACAGUUUCAAUAAAUACAAUAAAUAAUUUGUGAAAAUACAUGGUUUGUUGUGAAGUUAUUCCUCCUGCAUGAAUCCUACAGAAGACAUAAGAAGACCUGUAUAAUUGCAUAUCCACAACAGUCCUGCAGGAACUUUGAAUAUUAUAUUUUAAAACCCUGCAGGAAUGUAAUUCCUUCAUGUUUUCCUUCACAAAC